rnacentral:rRNA from 1 species
GAUGAACGCUGGCGGCGUGCCUAAUACAUGCCAGUCGAGCGAACAGACGAGGAGCUUGCUCCUUCGACGUUAGCGGCGGACGGGUGAGUAACACGUAGGUAACCUACCUAUAAGACUGGGAUAACUUCGGGAAACCGGAGCUAAUACCGGAUAAUAUUUCGAACCGCAUGGUUCGAUAGUGAAAGAUGGCUUUGCUAUCACUUAUAGAUGGACCUGCGCCGUAUUAGCUAGUUGGUAAGGUAACGGCUUACCAAGGCAACGAUACGUAGCCGACCUGAGAGGGUGAUCGGCCACACUGGAACUGAGACACGGUCCAGACUCCUACGGGGGGCAGCAGUAGGGAAUCUUCCGCAAUGGGCGAAAGCCUGACGGAGCAACGCCGCGUGAGUGAUGAAGGUCUUCGGAUCGUAAAACUCUGUUAUUAGGGAAGAACAAACGUGUAUGUAACUGUGCACGUCUUGACGGUACCUAAUCAGAAAGCCACGGCUAACUACGUG